rnacentral:tRNA from 1 species
GAAGUGGAAAUAGAUGUUUUCUAUAUUUAGUUACGGUCUAAAGAGAGAGGGCUUUU